GGGGCCUUAGCUUUGGGCGGGUUUUGGUGUAUGAUAAGUUAACCUAUUGAAACCGUCCAAAACUGAGGCCAUC
rnacentral:pre_miRNA from 1 species